rnacentral:lncRNA from 1 species
UAGCGUCUUAUCCUUGUCCGCGGGCAGUGAAUACUCCACGACAACGUGCCGCGCAAAGCAACUCGCUCUGCCGACACCAAAGUCAUAUUGCGGCAGUGUCAGCGCAAUGGGCCGGGCUCGUGCUGAAAUUAAGCCUAGUGUAAGGACACCGUCAACAUAGACAAUGCCAGCAAGGUUGAACUCACACAAAAUAUAGUGAAGUAGAAUAAUUCAUGGCGCAAAUAAAUAUACAAGUAUACGACCAUUAUCUACAAACAACCUCUAGAUGAUACGUACAAAGAAAACUGGCCCCCCACGUGGCUCCAGCCAGCGCCAGGACACCAUCAUAUCGAGCAGUGGCCUGAUGUGCGUACUGCACGCUGAAGUUUAUCCUU